rnacentral:rRNA from 1 species
AUACGGAGGGUGCAAGCGUUACUCGGAAUCACUGGGCGUAAAGCGCGCGCAGGCGGUCUUUUAAGUUGGAUGUGAAAGCCUACGGCUCAACCGUAGAACUGCAUCCAAAGCUAUUAGACUAGAGUGUGGGAGAGGAAGAUGGAAUUAGUUGUGUAGGGGUAAAAUCCGUAGAGAUAACUAGGAAUACCAAAAGCGAAGGCAAUCUUCUGGAACACUACUGACGCUGAGGCGCGAAAGCGUGGGGAGCAAACAGGAUUAGAAACCCUAGUAGUCC